rnacentral:rRNA from 1 species
UACGUAGGUGGCAAGCGUUGUCCGGAUUUACUGGGCGUAAAGAGCGCGCAGGCGGUCGUUCAAGUCGCGUGUGAAAGCCCCCGGCUCAACUGGGGAGGGUCACGCGAUACUGAUCGACUCGAAGGCAGGAGAGGGUAGUGGAAUUCCCGGUGUAGUGGUGAAAUGCGUAGAUAUCGGGAGGAACAUCAGUGGCGAAGGCGGCUACCUGGCCCAAUACUGACACUCAGGUGCGACAGCGUGGGGAGCAAACAGG